rnacentral:rRNA from 1 species
CCCUUAGAUGUUCUGGGCCGCACGCGCGCUACACUGAUGCAUUCAACGAGUCUAAAACCUGCUCUGAUAGGGGUGGGUAAUCUUUUGAAUGUGCAUCGUGAUUGGGAUAGAUGAUUGAAAUUUUUCAUCUUCAACGAGGAAUGCCUAGUAAACGCAAGUCAUCAGCUUGCAUUGAUUACGUCCCUGCCCUUUGUACACACCGCCCGUCGCUCCUACCGAUUGAAUGGUUCAGUGAGAUAAUCGGACAGAUAACUUGGCAACUGGCAACAGUUGACGUGCAUAUUUGGAAGACGAUCAAACUUGGUCAUUUAGAGGAAGUAAAAGUCGUAACA